rnacentral:rRNA from 2 species
AGCAUCCGUAGCCGGCUGUUCAAGUUUCCGGUUAAAUCCACACGCUUAACGUAUGGGCUGCCGGAAAUACUGUUCAGCUAGGGAGGGGGAGAGGUGGACGGUACUCGGUAGGAAGGGGUAAAAUCCUUUGAUCUAUUGAUGACCACCUGUGGCGAAGGCGGUCCACCAGAACACGUUCGACGGUGAGGGAUGAAAGCUGGGGGAGCAAACCGGAUUAGAUACCCGGGUAGUCCCAGCUGUAAACGAUGCAGACUCGGUGAUGCAUUGGCUUGUGGCCAAUGCAGUGCCGCAAGGAAGCCGUUAAGUCUGCCGCCUGGGAAGUACGUACGCAAGUAUGAAACUUAAAGGAAUUGGCGGGGGAGCACAAGCCGAA